GGAGAGAUGGCUCAGCGGUUAAGAGCACUGUCUUCUCUUCCGGAGGUCCUGAGUUCAAAUCUCAGCAACCACA
rnacentral:tRNA from 1 species